rnacentral:rRNA from 1 species
GACGAACGCUGGCGGCGUGCUUAACACAUGCAAGUCGAGCGGUAAGGCCCUUUUGGGGGUACACGAGCGGCGAACGGGUGAGUAACACGUGGGUGACCUGCCCUCAGCUCUGGGAUAAGCCUGGGAAACUGGGUCUAAUACUGGAUAUGACCUUUCCUCGCAUGGGGGUUGGGUGGAAAGUUUUUCGGCUGGGGAGUGGGCCCGGCGGCCUAUCAGCCUGUUGGGUGGGGUGAUGGCCUACCAAGGCGACGACGGGUAGCCGGCCUGAGAGGGCGACCGGCCACACUGGGACUGAGACACGGCCCAGACUCCUACGGGAGGCAGCAGUGGGAAUAUUGCGCAAUGGGCGGAAGCCUGACGCAGCGACGCCG